rnacentral:lncRNA from 1 species
GGGGGUGGUGGGAGUGAAACGACUCAAGCACUAAAGGCGCGAGCUCCCUAGGGGGUUGAGGGAUAUGCCCCCAGAAAAUUUUGAAAAUUAGAUCCCUAGAAAUGCUAUUUCCUGUGAUAUGGACAUUGAAUUAUGAGCUUCAGUUUGACUUCAAAAAAGGGAAAACCUUGGAAAUUAUGCCAUGUUUCUGAAUUUGAUUUUAUUGCACCCCUGUUGACCAAGGCCAACAGGGGUGUGCACCCUCCCUAUUAAUCCACCCCUGAAUUAAGUUAACACAUACUCCACUACAUCAUGUAUACUUAAUUACAAUAAUUUUAGUGUUAAUUUAAAAUUAUUCACUGUUAAUAAUUUUACUGUAUUGAAAAGUCCAAUUAAAAUAGUUCAAAAUUAAUCCAGCUUUUGUGUCUUCAAUUUCCAUACAUCUUGCUUGUACUGUAUUUUGCCUGCCCUACUUUUACUUGUCAAUGGGAGAGCCACUCUAUGGGUUAACUGGGAAACCAGAGUGAGUCAGGACAAAUGCCAGAUUAUGAUAUCCCAAUUGUGAGAUAAUUCUGGAAUAAACAAAAAUAUAUUAUAUGUUGUAACUUUGAGCACAAAAAUGAUGAUGGGAAAAACAAAACAAUGCGAC